UUUAAAUACCCAAAAGGUCCUAUAUAACUAAUAACGAUGAUAAACAUGCAUAUUAUACAACUUGAAUGUUUAAUGUGUUUCAUUUCACCAUAAUAUUGUAGUUUACAUUUGAAUAAUAAAAUGAAUAGUUUAGUAGUGGUUAAAAUUUGUUUUUUUUUAUUACAUAUAUUCAUUUUGAUCAACCUAACUGCAGCAAUUUGUGGGCUCGGAAGUUGUAGGAGAUAAAAAAGGCAAAAUAUGAACAGAACAAUUGUAAGAUAUGCAUGAAAAAUAUUAAAUAUGCAAAAAAAAUUAAUUUGGAUACGCAUUUACCUUCUCAACAAGAAGCUGAUCAUAUGAAGGAUAUAAAUCACGGUUAUGUUCUUUAGCGUUUUUACGGAGCAUAUUGUAUUGGAAUUUCGGUAACGAACAUGCAAUAAUUAAAGACAGAGCU